CAACUCUGGUUUCCCUUCAAAACGUAUAAAUCUUUCGCCUUUUACUAAAGAUUUCCGUGGAGGGGAGCACUCAAAUGAGUAUGAUCCUAUUUUUAUAAGGUCCAGCAUCAGCUGGACU